AAUAUCACACACAUUCAGUUUUGCAAAUUCUAUGUAAUACAGCGUGUGCACAACAUAUAUUAAUAUGUUAUGCUGUGAAUAUGUUCCAGAUGUUUCCUACAGUGGAGAUACAUGCUGAGCGUUUUAUAAAAAAUAUGCUGAAGAGAGACCAGGAGCAGCCAGUUAAAAUUAAAGAUGCUGUCGCACCAUACAGUUUGGAUGUAGUCACCAGCUCUUCUUUCAGUGUUGACAUUGACUCCAUAAACAACCCUGAUGACCACACAUUCAGUUUUGCAAAUUCUAUGAAAUACAGCGUGUGCACAACAUGUUUUCAAACACAGAAGUGAAUAUCUGCAAAUAAUAAAAUGUAAUUCAUCUUUUUAAAGAAUAACAAGUGCUUUUAAUUAAUGGGACGAAAUUAAAAUAAAAAAAAACCUUGUUUACUCA